UACGUAGGUGGCAAGCGUUGUCCGGAAUUAUUGGGCGUAAAGCGCGCGCAGGUGGUUUCUUAAGUCUGAUGUGAAAGCCCACGGCUCAACCGUGGAGGGUCAUUGGAAACUGGGGAACUUGAGUGCAGGAGAGAAGAGUGGAAUUCCACGUGUAGCGGUGAAAUGCGUAGGGAUGUGGAGGAACACCAGUGGCGAAGGCGACUCUUUGGCCUGUAACUGACACUGAGGCGCGAAAGCGUGGGGAGCAAACAGG
rnacentral:rRNA from 1 species